GAAAAAAAAAAAAAAAAAGCACAGUCGGAAGAUGGACCUCUGCUCUUACCUACCACCGUAAUAUAAUGGAUUAGGAUUCCCAGCAGCAAUUACUUUAGGGGCAGCUUCAGAGCUUUGCCAAGUUUAUUUGCUACAAAUUUUUUAAAAACUUUAAUUAUAGUAAUCUCAAAAAUUUCUCAAAAUUUUUAAACUACACACUUCAAAAUAUUCAAAAAUUUACGCACUUCAAAAUUUUUUUAAAAAACUUCUAUAGUAAGAUACAGUAAAGUUUUAGACAAAGACUCAAAAAACUCACUUACCAAACCGGGGCAACAUUCGUAGCAGCACUUUUGUGAAGAGAAUAAAUGUUUGUUUAAUUCCAACGGCACCACUCGUGACUUCUUGAGGCAGCAACAAUUGACACCAGCUGAGCUGGGCUGAAGAAUUGCACGCUUCGAUGGGCCUUCUGUCCAUUUUCCCAACGUCAGUCAAAUCCAUGGGCCAUGGACACCAGCAACAAUUGACUUUUCUAUUUGAACUUUGGUCUACUCUUCCUUCUAACCCAAAAAAAAAAAAAAAAAAAAAUUUUUGGCCUACUCUAAACCAAAAUGUUUACUCUUGACUACAGGCAGUCACGAGGGUAAGAAAUUAAUUGACAAAGGAAACAACGGACUCAGAAAAAUUGUUUUGACA
rnacentral:lncRNA from 1 species